UAGCUCAGUGGUUAAGAGCACUGGCUGUUCUUCCAGAGGACCUGGGUUCCACUCCCAG
rnacentral:tRNA from 1 species